UGCGCCACUAAGAACAGUAAAAUCCAUUGGAUGUGGGGACAUUCUACAGUCACCAAAAUAUUUUGUUAUCAAGCUUUAUCGACUUGAUCCAUAUUGUCAUUAUAUGCAAUAUGUUUCUCUAAGAUACGGAGGCUCAGACGCUGCAAGCAGGGUCCUCAAUGGCUGAUGCACAGAAUGAAUGAGGCCCUGAGGGGAUGAAGCCUUGAGUCUGCUCUGCAUGAGGAAGUGUCAGAGGGAUGAGUCUGCGAACUGUGUUUCAAUCUCAGAAUGUGGUGGUUGGAUCUACUGGAGCUCAUAGAGCAAGUCCUGAACAGUCACCGACAGCUCCUGAAAGAUAUGAGUGGAGGGGCGACAUGACCACCUCCUUAGGACCAUCUGGCAGAACGCCCAAGAAGAUGGGAGACGAUGCCAGACACAUGCCGGAACCAAUCCUAUGAACGAAACCUAUGCAACAUGUCUGUAACCAGUAUAUAAGGAUCUAACAGGACUGCCCCAGGUAGAGCUCCUGAUUGACAUGUGUACUUUGUGCAUUGAGUUGGUUGGAACCUCUCCAGCGCGCUGAUAAUAAACAAUGAAUCAUUUAA